UACGGAGGGGGCGAGCGUUAUUCGGAAUUAUUGGGCGUAAAGGGCGCGUAGGCGGCUCGAUAAGUCAAAGGUGAAAUCCCUCGGCUCAACUGAGGAACUGCCUUUGAAACUGUCGAGCUUGAGUCCGGGAGGGGGUGGCGGAAUUCCCAGUGUAGCGGUGAAAUGCGUAGAUAUUGGGAGGAACACCAGUGGCGAAAGCGGCUACCUGGACCGGAACUGACGCUGAGGCGCGAAAGCGUGGGUAGCAAACAGG
rnacentral:rRNA from 1 species